GUUCCAAGGCCUGGACAAGUUUUGGGCUUGGUGGGGACAAAUGGUAUCGGGAAGUCAACUGCACUUAAAAUUCUGGCUGGAAAGAUGAAGCCCAACUUGGGUAAAUUCACGGAUCCCCCAAAUUGGGAUGACAUUCUAAGGCACUUUCGUGGAUCUGAACUUCAGAAAUACUUCACUCGCCUUUUGGAAGACAAAAUGAAGUUAUUAAAUAUCAAUACCUCGAUCAUAUCCCAAAGUCUGUUGAAGGGAAGGUUGGUGACCUUCUUAACAAGAAAGAUGAGAGACAAGUCAAAGAUACAUUGUGUGACAUUCUUGAACUGAAACAAGUAAUGGACCGAAAUGUCUCAGAUUUAUCUGGUGGCGAGCUCCAGAGAUUUGCAAUUGCUGCCCGAGCUAUGGAAAAUGCAGAUAUUUAUAUGUUCGAUGAGCCAUCCUGCUAUCUGGAUGUGAAACAGAGGCUGAAAGCCGCACAAGUCAUUCGUUCGUUACUUCAUCCCAAAA